rnacentral:rRNA from 1 species
GAUGAACGCUGGCGGCGUGCUUAACACAUGCAAGUCGAACGGAAAGGCCCAAGCUUGCUUGGGUACUCGAGUGGCGAACGGGUGAGUAACACGUGGGUGAUCUGCCCUGCACUUCGGGAUAAGCCUGGGAAACUGGGUCUAAUACCGGAUAGGACCACUUCUUGGAUGUUGUGGUGGAAAGUUUUUUCGGUGUGGGAUGAGCUCGCGGCCUAUCAGCUUGUUGGUGGGGUAAUGGCCUACCAAGGCGUCGACGGGUAGCCGGCCUGAGAGGGUGUACGGCCACAUUGGGACUGAGAUACGGCCCAGACUCCUACGGGAGGCAGCAGUGGGGAAUAUUGCACAAGGGGCGCAAGCCUGAUGCAGCGACGCCGCGGGGGGGAUGACGGCCUUCGGGUUGUAAGCUCCUUUCGCUAGGGACGAAGCGUUUUGUGACGGUACCUGGAGAAGAAGCACCGGCUAACUACGUG